AUUGAACGCUGGCGGAAUGCUUUACACAUGCAAGUCGAACGGCAGCACGGACUUCGGUCUGGUGGCGAGUGGCGAACGGGUGAGUAAUACAUCGGAACGUGCCCGGACGUGGGGGAUAACUACUCGAAAGAGUGGCUAAUACCGCAUACGAUCCAAGGAUGAAAGCGGGGGAUCGCAAGACCUCGCGCGUUUGGAGCGGCCGAUGGCAGAUUAGGUAGUUGGUGAGGUAAAGGCUUACCAAGCCUGCGAUCUGUAGCUGGUCUGAGAGGAUGAUCAGCCACACUGGGACUGAGACACGGCCCAGACUCCUACGGGAGGCAGCAGUGGGGAAUUUUGGACAAUGGGCGCAAGCCUGAUCCAGCAAUGCCGCGUGCAGGAAGAAGGCCUUCGGGUUGUAAACUAGCUUUUGUCUAGGGAAGAAAUACUUCUGGGCUAAUACCCCGGAGGAUGACGGUACCUGAAGAAUAAGCACCGGCUAACUACGUGCCAGACG
rnacentral:rRNA from 1 species